rnacentral:hammerhead_ribozyme from 1 species
AUCCAGCUGACGGAUCCUAAAUAGGACGAAAUGCACUUCAUCCUGGAU